UGUUUGGCUGGGCAUUGUGGGUCACGCCUGUAAUCUCAGCACUUUGGGAGGCCGAGGUAGGCGGAUCACUUGAGGUUAGGAGUUUGAGACCAGCCUGGCCAACAUGGUGAAACACUGUCUCUACUAAAAUUAGAGAAACUAGACUGGCAUGGUGGUGCGUGCCUGUAAUCUCAGCCUCUCAAGUAGCUGGGAUUACAGGUGCAUGGCACCAUGCCCGGCUAGUUUUUGUAUUUUUAAUAGAGACGGGGUUUCGUCUUGUUGGCCAGGCUAGUUUCAAACUCCCGACCUCAAGUGAUCUGCCCACCUCAGCCUCCCAAAGUGCUGGGAUUAUAGGCAUGAGCCACCAUGCCCAGCCUGUUCCCAUCUUCCUCCCCCUGCCAACACACGACCACUGAUGUGGGUUCUGUCACUGUAGGUUAGUUUUCAUUUUCCAGAAUUUUAUGCAGAUGGAAUCAUACAGUGAGUACUCUUUUCGGGGGGUGGUUGGCUUCUUUCACUCGGCACAGUUAUUUUGAGAUUCAUCCAUUUUGUUACAUCUAUUAGUUACUCAUUCCUUUUUAUUGCUGAGUAGUAUUCCAUUGUAGAGAUACAGUACACUUUGUUUAUCCACUCACCUGUCUGUGGACAUUUUGGUUUCUAGUUUUGGGCUGUUAAGCUGGGAUGAACGUAUGUGUAUGUGUGCAGCUUUGGGAUGAGGUGUCUCACAUGAGCCACAUACUUGGGGUGGAUGUACUAGUCUUUGUGUGGACAUAUGCUGUCUUUCCUUUUGGAAAACACUUCAAAGUAGCAUGGCUGGGUCAUACUUUUUAACGUUUUAAGAAACUACCAAACUGUCUUCCAAAGUAAAUGUGCCAUUUUCUAUUCCAACCAGCAACGUAUGAGAGUUCCAGUUGCU
rnacentral:lncRNA from 1 species